UGGAGCAGGCAAGAGGUAGGGAAAAGCAUCUGCCUGAAUGGCUUAUGGGUGGCACAGCAGGGAAGGAGAAAAGGAGAUACCUGGUCCCAUGCCUGUGUAUAAAGCCAGGCAGAGAGUGUGGUAAAUCGAGGACAGCGAGACCUGCUCUGCCUGGCAAGUAUGGCUACCCUGCGUUCUCCAUACCUACCGAGAGCAGAGGAUCCAACACUAUAUCCACCGUACCUAGCAAGGGUCAGAUAGAAAACACGUCUGAACUCCAGUCUCCA